CACGUAGGGUGCGAGCGUUGUCCGGAAUUAUUGGCGUAAAGAGCUCGUAGGCGGUGUGUCGCGUCGGCCGUGAAAACCUGCAGCUUAACUGUGGGCUUGCGGUCGAUACGGGCAUCACUGGAGUUCGGCAGGGGAGACUGGAAUUCCUGGUGUAGCGGUGAAAUGCGCAGAUAUCAGGAGGAACACCGGUGGCGAAGGCGGGUCUCUGGGCCGAUACUGACGCUGAGGAGCGAAAGCGUGGGGAGCGAACAGGA
rnacentral:rRNA from 1 species